GCACCCGUAGCUCAACUGGAUAGAGCAUCUGACUUCGGAUCAGAGGGUUGGGGGUUCGAGUCCUCUCGGGUGUA
rnacentral:tRNA from 1 species